rnacentral:rRNA from 1 species
GACAGAGGGUGCAAACGUUGUUCGGAAUUACUGGGCGUAAAGCGCGUGUAGGCGGCCCUGCAAGUCGGAUGUGAAAUCCCACGGCUCAACCGUGGAAGUGCAUUCGAAACUGCAGGGCUAGAGUCCUGGAGAGGAAGGUGGAAUGCUUGGUGUAGAGGUGAAAUUCGUAGAUAUCAAGCGGAACACCGGUGGCGAAGGCGGCCUUCUGGACAGUGACGUGACGCUGAGACGCGAAAGCGUGGGGAGCAAACAGG